GGUCAAGAAGAGAAGCGCAAACGGUGGAUGCCUUGGCAGUAAGAGGCGAAGAAGGACGUGGAAUCCUGCGAAAAGCUAUGGGGAGCUGGAAACGAGCGUUGAGCCAUAGAUGUCCGAAUGGGGGAACCCGGCUGCAGCGAUGCGGUCAUUUGCAUUUGAAUACAUAGGAUGCAAAGGCGAACUCGGGGAACUGAAACAUCUAAGUACCCGAAGGAAAAGAAAUCAAGAGAGAUUCUCCAAGUAGCGGCGAGCGAACGGGGAGGAGCCUGGCGUGAUUUAUUAUUGAACUGAGUAGAACAAUUUGGGAAAGUUGGCCGAAGAGGGUGAAAGCCCCGUAUACGAAGGUUUGAUGAGGAACUAGGCACGCGAACAAGUAGGCCGGGACACGUGAAAUCCUGGUUGAAGAUGGGUGGACCAUCAUCCAAGGCUA
rnacentral:rRNA from 1 species